AGUUUUAGGAGGCACAACACGAGACCACACAUAAGGAUGGUUGUUAUUCUGUUGAAAACAUGCUUCCAAUAAACAAUUGUACAGAGAUUUAAUAGCAAAAGGCCCAUUACUUGUAGGCUUCCAUACAAGCCUAUCUUCCUUAAAUUAAAAGAGAAAGACUGAAUUUAUAACAUCCAGCAAUUGGUUCAAAGACUGCAGCUCCUAAGAAAAUAAUUCUCUUCAGCAAUUAAGAUUCCAAACCCAGUUGUUGUACUCCCAAAUCCUUAUUUCACUAACAUGAGCAUCCGGCAAGGAAGAAAGAUAAAAGAGUCUCACAAAGAUACAUCUUAGUGGUCUAUCCCCAACCCAUUUGUCAUACUAGUAGCGAAUGGAUGAUCCAUUGCCUACAAGAUGCGGAAAAUUUUCCAGAAUUGGAAAAUUAGAAGCCGGUGUAGAUACAAAAAGCUGAAUAUCCCUCCAAAUUGAGGAAAGAGAUGAACCCGUUGCCAUAGGGAUUCCAUUUUCGGAUUGAAAGCAGCAUUUGGAAUAAAGGAUCGACGCCCAUGGAGAAUCGGACUAUAUUUGUAACCUCCACAGCCAUUUAAACAAAAGAGCUUGAUUUUGUAAAGCAAAUUUG
rnacentral:misc_RNA from 1 species